UUUGACGUUAGCGACAGAAGAAGCACCGGCUAACUCCGUGCCAGCAGCCGCGGUAAUACGGAGGGUGCGAGCGUUAAUCGGAAUUACUGGGCGUAAAGCGCAUGCAGGUGGUUUGUUAAGUCAGAUGUGAAAGCCCGGGGCUCAACCUCGGAAUUGCAUUUGAAACUGGCAGACUAGAGUACUGUAGAGGGGGGUAGAAUUUCAGGUGUAGCGGUGAAAUGCGUAGAGAUCUGAAGGAAUACCGGUGGCGAAGGCGGCCCCCUGGACAGAUACUGACACUCAGAUGCGAAAGCGUGGGGAGCAAACAGGAUUAGAUACCCUGGUAGUCCACGCCGUAAACGAUGUCUACUUGGAGGAUGUGGCCUUGAGCCGUGGCUUUCGGAGCUAACGCGUUAAGUAGACCGCCUGGGGAGUACGGUCGCAAGAUUAAAACUCAAAUGAAUUGACGGGGGCCCGCACAAGCGGUGGAGCAUGUGGUUUAAUUCGAUGCAACGCGAAGAACCUUACCUACUCUUGACAUCCAGAGAACUUUCCAGAGAUGGAUUGGUGCCUUCGGGAACUCUGAGACAGGUGCUGCAUGGCUGUCGUCAGCUCGUGUUGUGAAAUGUUGGGUUAAGUCCCGCAACGAGCGCAACCCUUAUCCUUGUUUGCCAGCGAGUAAUGUCGGGAACUCCAGGGAGACUGCCGGUGAUAAACCGGAGGAAGGUGGGGACGACGUCAAGUCAUCAUGGCCCUUACGAGUAGGGCUACACACGUGCUACAAUGGCGCAUACAGAGGGCGGCCAACUUGCGAAAGUGAGCGAAUCCC
rnacentral:rRNA from 1 species